CCUUCGGGCCUCUCGCGUCAGGAUAUGCCUAGGUGGGAUUAGCUAGUUGGUGAGGUAAGGGCUCACCAAGGCGACGAUCCCUAGCUGGUCUGAGAGGAUGAUCAGCCACACUGGAACUGAGACACGGUCCAGACUCCUACGGGAGGCAGCAGUGGGGAAUAUUGCACAAUGGGCGCAAGCCUGAUGCAGCCAUGCCGCGUGUGUGAAGAAGGCCUUCGGGUUGUAAAGCACUUUCAGUCGUGAGGAAGGUGGUAGUGUUAAUAGCACUAUCAUUUGACGUUAGCGACAGAAGAAGCACCGGCUAACUCCGUGCCAGCAGCCGCGGUAAUACGGAGGGUGCGAGCGUUAAUCGGAAUUACUGGGCGUAAAGCGCAUGCAGGUGGUUUGUUAAGUCAGAUGUGAAAGCCCGGGGCUCAACCUCGGAAUUGCAUUUGAAACUGGCAGACUAGAGUACUGUAGAGGGGGGUAGAAUUUCAGGUGUAGCGGUGAAAUGCGUAGAGAUCUGAAGGAAUACCGGUGGC
rnacentral:rRNA from 1 species